CUCUGAUGCAGUGAGAGAUUAGAUGACUUAUCCAGAGUGACAUGAAUUAUGGAAGGGCUGGUCCUUAGUCCUGAUCCUAUGAAGUCCCCACUCCAUUCUUUUCUAUGAGCAAACUCUUAGAUUCUCAGAAUGGGACAGAAAAGGCACUCAGCAGAAGCCCUAAAAGCUCAUCAUAUGAGAUUGAUUUUCUUCUCAGACAUGGGGGAAAAGCUGAUGAAGAACAAUGGAGAAAUUUAAGCCCGCCAUUCUUUAAGGAGACCCCUAGCAGUCCUGAUCUGUCUCUUCUCAGUCAUUAGCCAAGAACCUUCCCUGAGAUUUGGCUCUCCAAAGUGAAGAAGAACCACUGUUCACUAAAUGGUGCCCAGAAUGAUGGAUACAGCAAAACAGGCAACAAGGCAGGAGCAUACAGCAAUAUCUUAUCAUAGCUGGCAACAUAAUAAACAGCAGCAACAAAACA
rnacentral:lncRNA from 1 species